AAAUUGAAGAGUUUGAUCAUGGCUCAGAUUGAACGCUGGCGGCAGGCCUAACACAUGCAAGUCGAACGGUAACAGGAAACAGCUUGCUGUUUCGCUGACGAGUGGCGGACGGGUGAGUAAUGUCUGGGAAACUGCCUGAUGGAGGGGGAUAACUACUGGAAACGGUAGCUAAUACCGCAU
rnacentral:rRNA from 2 species